rnacentral:rRNA from 1 species
UACGAAGGGGGCUAGCGUUGUUCGGAAUUACUGGGCGUAAAGCGCACGUAGGCGGAUACUUAAGUCAGGGGUGAAAUCCCGGGGCUCAACCCCGGAACUGCCUUUGAUACUGGGUAUCUCGAGUCCGGAAGAGGUGAGUGGAAUUCCGAGUGUAGAGGUGAAAUUCGUAGAUAUCUGGAGGAACACCGGUGGCGAAGGCGGCAUCCUGGACCGACACUGACGCUGAGGAGCGAAAGCCAGGGGAGCAAACGGG